GACGAACGCUGGCGGCGUGCUUAACACAUGCAAGUCGAACGGAAAGGCCCUGCUUUUGUGGGGUGCUCGAGUGGCGAACGGGUGAGUAACACGUGAGUAACCUGCCCUUGACUUUGGUAUAACUUCAGGAAACUGGGGCUAAUACCGUAUAGGAGCUCCUGCUUCUUUGUGGUGGUUGGAAAGUUUCGGCGGUUGGGGAUGUACUCGCGGCUUAUCAGCUUGUUGGUGGGGUAGUGGCUUACCAAGGCUUUGACGGGUAGCCGGCCUGAGAGGGUGACCGGCAACAUUGGGACUGAGAUGCGGCCCAGACUCCUACGGGAGGCAGCAGUGGGGAAUAUUGCACAAUGGGCGGAAGGCUGAUGCAGCAACGCCGCGUGCGGGAUGACGGCCUUCGGGUUGUAAACCGCUUUCGCCUGUGACGAAGCGUGAGUGACGGUAAUGGGUAAAGAAGCACCGGCUAACUACGUG
rnacentral:rRNA from 1 species